CCCGUACCAAGAUGGCGCCUCAGUUGACGCAUUCGUUCCAAUGUACUGCCCUAUACAAGGCGACAUCUAGUGUAUAUAUAUAUCUAUGGUCACAAAGAUCUCGGUCCAUAAUGUUUAUUAUCCACUAGAGGGCGCUUGUGUACAUUAGCGCUCAGCACUCAUUAGCACUCACUCACUUCCUGUUUGUCAUGCACAUGGUGAGAUGGAACAAAUGUAAUUGUUACAAGGUAAAGCUAUUUCUACCUGUAUCGUAUGCCAUCCAUCCAAGAAGGUGCAAGUUAUAACCCCUUCUCUUAAGUCACAAGCAGGCAAAAGUGUGUGUUGGUGUUGAUGUCUAUACCAAUAAAAUAAAACAUCUGUGCAAAAGAACCUCAGCCUUCGCAAUGUGACUAAGGGCGGCAUACCGAGUGUGUGUCUAACAGAGGAGGAAAAGACAACAGAAAUGUUAUUGGUGGGCUGUAUGCAUCAUAUGGGGAAUAUACCUAUAUGGAAUCUUCACUCUGAGUUCGACCCCUGGGUCUUAAAGUCACCGGAUUCAUGUUUCCUAACUGAGCAGAUACACAGAUCACUUGUAAGCUUUAGGGCAUCGAUCCUUCCAUAAAUUUGUCUAUCCAUCCAUAUAUUUAAAUAACAACUUGCGUUAUGCAUCUUUUUAAAUAGAUUUUUUUUUCUUGCAUACAGGUGGUAUGUUUUUGAGGUAUCGUAGAUAGAUAUCAUGAUAGAUCGAGAUAUAGAUAGAAUUAAUCAAUGAAAAAACAUUGAAACAUUCAAAUAAAAAAAUCAGUGUGUGAUGCUGCCAUGUGUAUUGCUCAUGCUGUGUGCUACUUGCAAAUUGGUCAAUUAAUGACAACUACAUUUUGAAUGAAAAUAAUUCAAAUGGGGGAUCAGGAGGAAACCAAAUGAUUGUCAUCUAAAUAAUGAUCACUGUGUUCCAAUUAGCUUAGAAGCAUCAAUAUUUUUUUUCCUAAAGCAUUUUUCAUUUUAAUCAAUCAAACUGACACAAAAUAUCUGAGUUUAUAGACUAAUUAUUGUCACCUCACUGAUCCCUAGGGAUUAUUGUAUGAGCCUCAAAGAUAGUUAAGACAUUGUAUUACCUGCUGUUUUUCUCUAAUCCCCACAUUUCCUUGCUUAAACAUCAGCUUUCUGUGUUUUCUGAGUGCUUUAGGUGGUCCAGAAUAGUGACCCCACCAUACAGGAGUCAGAACCUUUUCAUUGCUUAACUCAUUUAUGUACAGAGUAGUUUGAAUUUUUGUUUUCUCAGUGGAAUGAAAUGUGGCAUAAAUACAUAAAUAGAUUUGUUUAUUUAUAAAUAAUAUUCUUGGGACUAUAAUAACAACACUUAAAAAAAUAUAUAUAUAAAUAUAUACAAAAAAUAUAUAUAUAUUUUUUGACACACCAUAUGGUCCAGAUGUCUCUUAAUUUGAAAAGCAUUCAGACAGUAAGGUGGUGCCAUGCUGAAAAGCGCUGCUAGAUUCCAUUAAAACAAAAGCUCAGACAAAAUCGUUAAAAUUAAAGUGCUGACAUUAUUAUUGAGCAAUUUUAUAAUGUAAUAACAAAUAAUGUACAUCAUUGACAUCAAUACAUGCUUAGAACACAUAGCAUCAUGGCCUUAAAUUAUCCAGUCAUGUUAGUGGUUGUGCUAUAAAAACAUUAACCCAUUGUCAAAACAUUACUCCAUGUUUCUAUGUGGGGGUAAUGUGUGAGGUGGUGGUGUCUAAACAGCAUGCAGUUCAUAUUGCUAAAAUUUCCCACACUCUUUAGAGUGUUAAGGACUUCGCAGUUCAUGUGGUUUUCUGUAAUGUUUGUGAUUUUAAAUUUUUCAUAAGGUGGUAUUAGCACCUCUUCCUCAUUAGGUAUCACAGAAAGAUUGCCUAUGUUUGCACCAAAGCAUGUGUUAAUCUCAAAACAGGAUUUAUUGACAUUGUUUGUGCAAGUCACCUUUUAAUGAAGUCGAUGCAAACCUGUCAAAUGGCAUUGUAUAAUUAAUUUUGGGUCUCACAAAACUAACGUUGGUUCUACGGAAAACAUCAACACAGCUCGGCACUUUAUGAAUUUGUAUGGCACGUGUUAGCAAGAAAUGUAUUGCAAGAAAUUUUCAUUGUAACUUUGAACAAAUGUUUUAAACCCAUGGUAUUUUAAGUAUGUAACCUAGUGAACCAGCAUUUAAUGUAUUCAAUGUUGGAGAUUUAAGCACUUAUGUACGUCGUUCUGGAUAAGGGCGUCUGACAAAUGCUGUAAAUGUAAAUGAAAGGCUUUGUAUUUGAAUAUGUUGAAGUGAUGUUCUCUUCCACAGCUGACAGCAUAAUUUAAUAUUGAAUAAAGUUUUUUCUUUG